CUAUCAUUCCUUUUUAGUUUUCUUUUUAAAUCCUGCUGCUUCUCUCUCUAUUCUUUUAUAUAUUUUUUGCUCUCCUGCUCCCACAGCUUUCCCCGCUCUUGUCUCGGAUUCUCUCCUUUUUCUGAUACACUCCUCACUUCCCUCUCUUUCCUUGUUUUCCUCAUCUUUCAUUCUCUACAUGUCUCUCUCUCCCUCACCUUUUUCGGAUAUUCUUAACACUUGUCUCUUGGUUUCCCUCCCU